AACCAGACUCCUACGGGAGGCAGCAGUGAGGAAUAUUGGUCAAUGGGCGGAAGCCUGAACCAGCCAAGUCGCGUGAGGGAAGAAGGCCCUGCGGGUCGCAGACCUCUUUGGACGGGUAGCAAGGCCGCCGACGUGUCGGCGGAAGGAGAGUACCCGUAGAACAAGCAUCGGCUAACUCCGUGCCAGCAGCCGCGGUAAUACGUAGGGGGCAAGCGUUAUCCGGAUUUACUGGGUGUAAAGGGAGCGUAGACGGCAAUGCAAGCCAGAUGUGAAAGCCCGGGGCUCAACCCCGGGACUGCAUUUGGAACUGUGUAGCUGGAGUGUCGGAGAGGCAGGCGGAAUUCCUGGUGUAGCGGUGAAAUGCGUAGAUAUCAGGAGGAACACCGGCGGCGAAGGCGGCCUGCUGGACCGCGACUGACGUUGAGGCUCGAAAGCGUGGGGAGCGAACAGGAUUAGAUACCCCCGUAA
rnacentral:rRNA from 1 species